rnacentral:rRNA from 1 species
UACGUAGGGGGCAAGCGUUGUUCGGAAUUACUGGGCGUAAAGGGCGCGUAGGCGGCUUAACAAGUCACUUGUGAAAUCUCCGGGCUUAACUCGGAACGGCCAAGUGAAACUGUCAAGCUAGAGUGCAGAAGGGGCAAUCGGAAUUCUUGGUGUAGCGGUGAAAUGCGUAGAUAUCAAGAGGAACACCUGAGGUGAAGACGGGUUGCUGGGCUGACACUGACGCUGAGGCGCGAAAGCCAGGGGAGCAAACGGG